UACGGGGGGGGCAAGCGUUGUUCGGAAUUACUGGGCGUAAAGGGCUCGUAGGUGGCCAACUAAGUCGGACGUGAAAUCCCUCGGCUUAACCGGGGAACUGCGUCUGAUACUGGAUGGCUUGAGAUUGGGAGAGGGACGCGGAAUUCCAGGUGUAGCGGUGAAAUGCGUAGAUAUCUGGAGGAACACCGGUGGCGAAGGCGGCAUCCUGGACCGGUAUUGACGCUGAGGCGCGAAAGCCAGGGGAGCAAACGGG
rnacentral:rRNA from 1 species